GUUAAGAGGAGGAGGAGGAAAGGGUGGAGGGCUGGCGGGGAGGAGGGGCUGCUUCUCACCUUGGGCCUUUCCUACCCGGUCCCUGGGUCUGACUGCGGUGGGCAUGUGUGUGUGUGGGGGUCUUUCCCAAAGCAGCUCUCACUUCAGCCCCCACAGGGCCCUUGAAUCAAGGGGCGGAGGUGGGGGGGUCCCAUGCUCUGCACAACCAAGCAGGUCACAGCAGGGGCUCCUGCCAAGGAGCUUCUCAGGAUUCCCCCCGGGGACUCCCCCAGUUCAGGAACCCCAGAACCUGCAAGCCGGUCCUGAGCUUAGCACAGCAUGGGGAUCAAGUACCAAACCCCUCCCCCAAGCCUUGUAGUGGCCCAGAUGUGCCCUGGGGCUCUGGGAACCUUGGCACCCCCACCGCGGGCAGCUGUGGGCGGGCCUGGGAGACCAGCUGCAGCCCUGGGAAGAACCCUGCGGGGGCUCUGACGGGGCUCGGCCCUUCCCCUGUCCCCCACCUUCCUGCUCCCCACGGCAUGGGGGGGUGCUCCCUCUGGCUGGGGCCACCCCCAGGCUGGCUGCCUCCCUGCUCCUCUGGAGUUAUGUUAGUUUCCAUCACGUUACGUGCAGAUGGGACAACUGAGGCCCCAGAGCAAAGGGGGUCCUGGACCCCUAGUCUCAGCGAGGAUCCCCCCCAGGCUGCAAACCUGGAGCUGGGCCACGUCCGUGGGUUCCGGAGUGUGGAAUAUGGGGCAUAUCCCGGCAGUGCCAUGUGCUCGGAUGAAGGCUCGUGCAAACACUACCUGCUGGGAGCUGGCCGGCUGCCCUCCCCGCAUGCCCCCGAGCCAACGAGCGGGUGUGCUCCCUGCCCCUCCUCCGGCUUCCUACAUUCGUGCUUUGCCUCUCUGGGUUUCAGGCUUCUUGGGGCUGGCGGGACAGGGGUGUUCAGGGUGAUGGCGCACUGCUCCUGACCUGUCAGAGCCAGCAGGAAGCCACGGGAUGGUGGGGGACGGCGCCCUGGCCCCUGGUGCUGGUGGGGGUGCCCACAGGGGUACGCCCAGUCCUGGUAAGGGCCAGCCCCGCGACCAGGUUCUGGUUCAGAGAUGCGGAAGUAGGCAGGGGUCUUUUGGUUGCAAGAAACCCAACCCGAUGGAGGCCAGGAGAGAAAGAGGGAUUGUCCCACCAAAGUCUCCUCUUCCCGGCGCCUGUCUCAGCGUUGGCGUCAGCUUUGUCUCUCCCUCCCCGCGGCCCUGCUCUGGCCAUGCCUGCCUGUUGCUCACGGCCUACGGCUCAUUGCCUGGGGCCCUUGCAGGAAGGACCAUGCUGGUCAUGAGGGGCCCCACCCCCGGGAGAAUUCUGAGGACGACCCCCACCCUCGGACAUUCUCAGCCCACAUUCUGGGGGCGAGGAGUGUGGGCUGCUUUCUACAAGGCCUCGGUUCAACAAGGGGGCGGCUCUCCGAAAGAGGAGGGCCGGUUAGUAAGACGUCUGCAGGGGCUGUGGGCCCGACUGGUAAGAACCCCUUCCCUACAGAUGGAGGUGGCCUCCCUGGAAAGAUGUGGCUCCCAGGGCUCAGGACCCCAGGUGGGAGAGACGUAUCCACCCGGACUGGACAUCCGCACUGAGGAAGCCUCUGGAGGGCUGCCGGGAGAGGCUGGCAAGCUUGGCCUUGGCCACAGGGGUGGUCAGCUAUCUGGCAGCGGCUCCUUGGUGCUGGGGAAAUGUCUUAUGACCACAAAGGAGCCUGGUUCUCAGAUCGUCUCCCUAGACUGA
rnacentral:lncRNA from 12 species